CAAUAGCGUAUAUUUAAGUUGUUGCAGUUAAAAAGCUCGUAGUUGGAUUUCGGGUAGGAUUUGCCGGUCCGUCUUUGAGAUGUGUACUGGUAAGUCCUAUCUUCUUGUCGGGGACCAGCUCCUGGGCUUCACUGUCCGGGACUGGGAGCCGACGAAGUUACUUUGAGUAAAUUAGAGUGUUCAAAGCAAGCCUACGCUCUGAAUAUAUUAGCAUGGAAUAACGCGAUAGGACUCUGGCUUAUCUUGUUGGUCUGUGAGACCAGAGUAAUGAUUAAGAGGGACAGUCGGGGACAUUCGUAUUUCAUUGUCAGAGGUGAAAUUCUUGGAUUUACGCAAGACAAACAGCUGCGAAAGCGUCUGCCAAGGAUGUUUUCAUUGA
rnacentral:rRNA from 1 species